GACGAACGCUGGCGGCGUGCUUAACACAUGCAAGUCGAGCGGAAAGGCCCUGCUUGCAGGGUACUCGAGUGGCGAACGGGUGAGUAACACGUGGGUGAUCUGCCCUGCACUUCGGGAUAAGCUUGGGAAACUGGGUCUAAUACCGGAUAGGAGCCAUCUUUAGUGUGGUGGUUGGAAAGUUUUUUCGGUGUAGGAUGAGCUCGCGGCCUAUCAGCUUGUUGGUGGGGUAAUGGCCUACCAAGGCGGCGACGGGUAGCCGGCCUGAGAGGGUGUACGGCCACAUUGGGACUGAGAUACGGCCCAGACUCCUACGGGAGGCAGCAGUGGGGAAUAUUGCACAAUGGGCGCAAGCCUGAUGCAGCGACGCCGCGUGGGGGAUGAAGGCCUUCGGGUUGUAAACUCCUUUCGCUAGGGACGAAGCUUUGUUGUGACGGUACCUAGAUAAGAAGCACCGGCUAACUACGUG
rnacentral:rRNA from 1 species